GCGACCGAGGCAGCGAGGGAGUCAGCGAGCGAGGGAGAGGCGAGGCGGCCUGAGCCCGGCGCCCAGCCAGCCGCAGCGCAGCUCGCGCCGGGAGCUCACGGUGUCCGGGCAUCUCCGGGGCGGGUGUGUGCGCGGGGCCUCGCCGCGUCACGGGGCAUCCACAGUGCUGCCCGCCCGCUAGUCUGCCCGGAGCACCAGGCUCCCAGGUGCCCGGCUUUCACUUCCUCUCGCCUCCCACUCCUCCCUGGCUCUCCAGCUGGCAUCGCCACCGCCUCGUAGUUCCAGUCACCGCUGUUGCUGCUGCUGCGAUCCAGGACGCACACUCUUUCACUUUCCCGCUGGAGGCGCGGAGGAUGCCCCUUGCAUCAGAGCCAGAGAAAUAGCCCCGGCCUGGCUGGAGGAGCCUCGGUGGCUAGAAAGGAAAUCAAGACACCGCUUUCCUUGUCCCUGCAGCAGCUGGCAGCUGGGAAGGCGGCCACAGAGCAGGCGGGCCGAGUGGGACGCGGGAGUUGCAGAGAGAGACACCAGGAGCCUGCUGGGCUCUGCUAUCAGUUUGCAAGUGGCUGAGACCUCCUCAGGGAAUUUGCUUGAGGAUAUGCUUCUUCAGGUGCACAUUCUUCUUAACUUCUCCGGGGUGUGUUUCCCUUGACCCCAUAUUCCUAGCACCUGGCACCGUGUCUGCUAGUGGCUCCACCCAGAGACCAACCGGACUCCGACUCAGGCUUGGACUCUUACCCGGUGGAUGUCCUUGCACAGCCACUGCACUUCUCUAAGCCUCAGUGUCCUCGUCGGCUCAGUGGGGAUAAUAAUUGUACCUACUUCAGAGGAUCAUGAAGAUUUCACAGGUGAACACCUGGAUCACAGCACAGGGCCCGGCCCAGGGAGAGGCUUCAGUAACGCACAGAUCCAGGACUCCAUGCAGCUGAGGAAAUCAACCCCUGGGGCAAGCUGACCUUGGAGGAUCAAACCUGAGACAUCUCUGGGAGACCCUGUGUCCUGUGAACUUGUUUGUCACCCAUGGCCCUUCCUGAUUCUCCAGUUGACCUCAGCGCUCCAGAAACAGAAGGUCAAAAGCCCCUCGUUGCUCCUUCCUCAUCUCUCUUCCUUUUCCUCUCACAAUAGAAUAAACUA